AAUGGAUACAGGACGGAUUAAUUU
rnacentral:miRNA from 1 species